rnacentral:lncRNA from 1 species
GUACCAUAUGGUGCUGAUGUGUCGGAUGCCUCCAUGUGUUGAUUUCAAUCAUUCAACUGGACACAUGGUGAGAGGCUGAACAGACAUGCUUCCUUCCCUCAUGGAGUUUAUAUUGCAAUUGAAUCUGGUUCCGAGACCUUCUGAUUCUGAUUCAGCCUUCUAAGUUCAAACCAAAGCAGAGUUUCCAGCAUUUUCAACUUCUUUAAUGAGAAGCAUGUUCAGCCAGCAAAGAAGAAGAAGAAAAAUGGUUAUAGACAAGCAACCAACAGUAUCUGCCAUAGCUAUUUUAUAGCUGUUUAAACUUGGGGAAAUUUGGAUACACAAAGAGAUGCCAGGGAUUAACCUACCCAGAGGAAAGGCCACGUGAGGACACAGCAAGAAGGUGGCCGUCUGCAAGCCGAGAGAGGCCUCAGAAGAAGCCAAACCUGCUGAUACCUUGGACUUCCCAGCCUCCAGAUUUGUGAGAAAUAAACUACUGUUGUUUUAAGUCACCCAGUCUAUGAUAUUUUGUUAUAACAGCCCUAGCAAACUAAUACAAGGAUAUUCAUCAUUCUAUGUUUUUGUGCAUUGAAAUGCAUAAAUAUUUCAGCCUCAAUAUUUUCACAGAUGCUGUCUUUUUUGUUUUCAUUCAGAGUAGCUUUCUUCAACAAAUAUUUCAUAAGAACAACUUCAUAAUAUAAAUUGUCUCUAUUUAUGAUUCCACAUAAUUAUGGGCUUCCACAAUUUCGUUUUAUUCCAGUACAGAACAUAAAUUUAUCUAAUUAAAAAUAGGUGCUUCAGCAAAUGACUUAUCCUGCAAGUUGAAAUAUUCUAAAAUGCAAUUACAGAAUUUCAACAUUAAUAUUGUAUACUAUUUGAGGGCUUAUUGUUUAAUUUGUUCAGUACUCACUGUGCUUAUGAAAGGAUAAAUUUCAAGUUUCUCUGUUUGCAAAUGAUUUUUCCAAUAACCGCAUUUUGGUAUUUCAUUUGACAAAUACUUUGAUUAAAACUUUU